GGUAAAUUCAAAUAAGAGGUUAGAAUUAGUUACUGAAGAAGAUUUACAGAAAGGAACGGCGUCCUUCAGUAAGAGGGCUUGUUCUCUGACCGCUUCUGCUCAGGCACAUGUGCUGUGGGUGAGAUGCUGAAGGAAGAACAUUAACAGAGCAGAAGGCAGUCCUGGUAACCAGGCGCCCAAUAUGGCCAAAUUCGUUCUCACUGAAUUUCACCAUUUUGUCUAUUGGAUGAAACUGGCAUUGCCUAAGAAGAUGCAGCUGUAUCUGGAACAGGGAGGAGCAGAGAGCCUAAAAACACAUUUCUAAGGGCAGGUCUUGAGUAUCCAUCCUUCCCUAAGGAAACACAUCUGCACUGUCUAUUCUUGCAAAUGCCAUGGAAUGGAUUUUGAGAGUUUCUCAGAUCUACACCCAUAAAUGGAUGUGGUAGAUCACAGCUCUUUGAGCAGUGAAUUUUAUGGGUGCUGUGCUGUCACAUUGGUCCUGAUUGAGCCCAAUUUUCCCUGUCAUCUGUAAUGACUUUGAAAAACAUGGAAUGAAAUCCAGGACAUGAAGAAAAUUGGAAAUGAUUUCAACAACAACAACAACAACAACAUUUGCUUGUAAAUUUGAGUAGAAAACAGAGCCUUCCGUUCAAUGUGAGGAUCCACACUAAAACUUGACUCACCAUGGUUUAGCACCCGGUAGCUCUUCUCAGUCAUGGGGUUAUAGUGCACUGUGGGGCCAUCAUUAGAUCACCAUUGUUCUGCACUUUAGUUACUCAAACCAUGUCAGGUAGGAGCUGAACACAGGCUGUACAAGAGCCUGGCUCACUCUGCCUCUUUACUGGCUGAAACAGAUCCUGCUUGCAUGGGGGCCACACUUUUUCUUGGCUUCAUGAUGCAUUCACCCUGCGUCUCCUUCAUUAUCAUUCUAUGUUUCCUUUAUUUUUAAAUAAAUAAAAAAAAAAUCCAGCAUGUCCUUUAUCGUUGCCUUUGCUUUGAUCUUCUGUUCUUGAACAUUAAACUAAACACGGACACACACUCAUGCAUUAAUUCCACCUAACUCAGCGAUGAGGUCUAGCAAUGUUCACAUUCAGAUAUAGCAGAGUUACCUUAUAAUCUUAAAGUGUAAAAUAAUUCAUCAUGGGCUGCAGAAGUGACUCAAUGGUUACGCGCACUUGCUGUUCCUCCGGGGCAUCAGCAUGAAAUUUUCUACAACUACAUAGCACCUCACAACCAAGUAGGAGAUCUGAGAAGCCAUCUCUGGUCUCUGUAGGUACUGCAUACAUAUGGUGGACAGACAAGUAAGCAGGCAUAACAUCAAUUUACAUACAAUAAAUAAAUUAAGUAAAAAAUAAAAACAUCAUUACAAGUUUGCACA
rnacentral:lncRNA from 1 species